rnacentral:tRNA from 2 species
GCCGCUGUAGCUCAGUUGGUAGAGCAGUGCUUUUGUAAAGCACGGGUCGCAGGUUCAAGUCCUGUCAGCGGCU